CAGUAGCCGCGGUAAUACGAAGGGUGCAAGCGUUAAUCGGAAUUACUGGGCGUAAAGCGCGCGUAGGUGGUUUGGUAAGAUGGAUGUGAAAUCCCCGGGCUCAACCUGGGAACUGCAUCCAUAACUGCCUGACUAGAGUACGGUAGAGGGUGGUGGAAUUUCCUGUGUAGCGGUGAAAUGCGUAGAUAUAGGAAGGAACACCAGUGGCGAAGGCGACCACCUGGACUGAUACUGACACUGAGGUGCGAAAGCGUGGGGAUCAAACAGGAUUAGAUACCCCCGUAGUCCCUGUCUCUUAUAC
rnacentral:rRNA from 1 species